rnacentral:rRNA from 1 species
UACGGAGGGUGCAAGCGUUAUCCGGAUUCACUGGGUUUAAAGGGUGCGUAGGUGGGAAGGUAAGUCAGUGGUGAAAUCCCCGAGCUUAACUUGGGAACUGCCAUUGAUACUAUCUUUCUUGAAUACCUUGGAGGUGAGCGGAAUAUGUCAUGUAGCGGUGAAAUGCUUAGAUAUGACAUAGAACACCAAUUGCGAAGGCAGCUCACUACACGGUCAUUGACACUGAGGCACGAAAGCGUGGGGAUCAAACAGGA